UCCCCGGUAGCUCAGUUGGUAGAGCAGGUGGCUGUUAACCACCGUGUCGCUGGUUCGAAUCCGGCCCGGGGAG
rnacentral:tRNA from 1 species